GUCCGAUUUCGUCGUAUCGACUUGUUGAACUUUUGAACUUCUACAUUUUAGAGGAUUCCAUAUUGACUGUAAUUUCCCCUUCCAAACGGAUACAUCUCGUUGGUGGUUAGAUAAUAUAAUCCCCGAGAGCUGUAUUACGAAAAUCAUUCAGAA